AUUGAACGUUGGCGGCAUGCUUUACACAUGCAAGUCGAACGGCAGCACGGGGGCAACCCUGGUGGCGAGUGGCGAACGGGUGAGUAACGCAUCGGUACGUGCCUUGUCGUGGGGGCUAACACAUCGAAACUUGUGCUAAUACCGCCAACGACCUGAGGGUGAAAGCGGGGGACCGUUAGGCCUCGCCCGAUAGGCGCGGCCGAUGUCUGUUUAGCUAGUUGGUCAGGUAAGUGCUCACCAAGGCGACGAUCUGUAGCGGGUCCGAGAGGAUGAUCCGCCACACUGGAACUGAGACACGGUCCAGACUCCUACGGGAGACAGCAGUGGGGAAUUUUGGACAAUGGGGGCAACCCUGAUCCAGCCAUGCCGCGUGAGUGAAGAAGGCCUUCGGGUUGUAAGGCUCUUUCGGCCGGGAAGAAAUCGUAUGGGUUAAUACCCUGUGCGGAUGACGGUACCGGCAUAAGAAGCACCGGCUAACUACGUGCCAGCCGCCGCCGUAAUAC
rnacentral:rRNA from 1 species